rnacentral:rRNA from 1 species
AGUGAACGCUGGCGGUAGGCCUAACACAUGCAAGUCGAACGGCAGCACAGUAAGAGCUUGCUCUUACGGGUGGCGAGUGGCGGACGGGUGAGGAAUACGUCGGAAUCUACUUUUUCGUGGGGGAUAACGUAGGGAAACUUACGCUAAUACCGCAUACGACCUACGGGUGAAAGCAGGGGAUCUUCGGACCUUGCGCGAUUGAAUGAGCCGAUGUCGGAUUAGCUAGUUGGCGGGGUAAAGGCCCACCAAGGCGACGAUCCGUAGCUGGUCUGAGAGGAUGAUCUGCCACACUGGAACUGAGACACGGUCCAGACUCCUACGGGAGGCAGCAGUGGGGAAUAUUGGACAAUGGGCGCAAGCCUGAUCCAGCCAUACCGCGUGGGUGAAGAAGGCCUUCGGGUUGUAAAGCCCUUUUGUUGGGAAAGAAAAGCAGCAGGUUAAUACCCCGCUGUUCUGACGGUACCCAAAGAAUAAGCACCGGCUAACUUCGUG